UGGAAGCAGUCUGAUGACACCUCC
rnacentral:piRNA from 1 species